UUGCUGUGAUUUCCAUUUUUGCGGUUUUUUAUCAUGAAAACUUCAGUGUGCUUCUUAAUAUUGAGCAUGCAAUAGAUCCUUAAGCCAAUGCUGACCUUUGUCCAUGAAGGAAGAGGGACAUCCAGCAACGUUCUGCUCCAUCCUUAUCUUCCCGACGUACGCUCAUCUAGCUUCACUGCUUUUGCUGCUACAACUUGUCUUACUUCACCGACGAGUUGGAACACUUCAUUGGUCGCUACCCUUUGCUGUUACACACCUGCAGUUACUCACCACGGGAUUAUGCCCAGGUAAUGCAGAAGAGACGUCGAGAAGAUGGACACCAUAACGU